GAUGAAGAACGUAGCGAAAUGCGAUAAGUAAUGCGAAUUGCAGAAUUCAGUGAGUCAUCGAAUCUUUGAACGCACAUUGCGCCCUGUGGUAUUCCGCAGGGCAUGCCUGUUCGAGCGUCAUUUCAACCCUCAAGCCUCGCUUGGUGUUGGGCCCUGCCCGCCGCGGCCGGCCCUAAAGAUAGUGGCGGCGCCGCCUGGCCCUCAGCGUAGUACAGCUCUCGCUCCAGGGUCCGGCGGCAGCCUGCCAGAACCCCCCAACUCUGUGGUUGACCUCGGAUCAGGUAGGGAUACCCGCUGAACUAAAGCAUAUCAAUAAGCGGAGGA
rnacentral:misc_RNA from 1 species